rnacentral:rRNA from 1 species
CGCUUCUUUUUCCACCGGAGCUUGCUCCACCGGAAAAAGAGGAGUGGCGAACGGGUGAGUAACACGUGGGUAACCUGCCCAUCAGAAGGGGAUAACACUUGGAAACAGGUGCUAAUACCGUAUAACAAUCGAAACCGCAUGGUUUUGAUUUGAAAGGCGCUUUCGGGUGUCACUGAUGGAUGGACCCGCGGUGCAUUAGCUAGUUGGUGAGGUAACGGCUCACCAAGGCCACGAUGCAUAGCCGACCUGAGAGGGUGAUCGGCCACAUUGGGACUGAGACACGGCCCAAACUCCUACGGGAGGCAGCAGUAGGGAAUCUUCGGCAAUGGACGAAAGUCUGACCGAGCAACGCCGCGUGAGUGAAGAAGGUUUUCGGAUCGUAAAACUCUGUUGUUAGAGAAGAACAAGGAUGAGAGCAACCGUUCAUCCCUUGACGGUAUCUAACCAGAAAGCCACGGCUAACUACGUGCCAGCAGCCGCGGUAAUACGUAGGUGGCAAGCGUUGUCCGGAUUUAUUGGGCGUAAAGCGAGCGCAGGCGGUUUCUUAAGUCUGAUGUGAAAGCCCCCGGCUCAACCGGGGAGGGUCAUUGGAAACUGGGAGACUUGAGUGCAGAAGAGGAGAGUGGAAUUCCAUGUGUAGCGGUGAAAUGCGUAGAUAUAUGGAGGAACACCAGUGGCGAAGGCGGCUCUCUGGUCUGUAACUGACGCUGAGGCUCGAAAGCGUGNGGAGCAAACAGGAUUAGAUACCCUGGUAGUCCACGCCGNAAACGAUGAGUGCUAAGUGUUGGAGGGUUUCCGCCCUUCAGUGCUGCAGCUAACGCA